rnacentral:rRNA from 1 species
UACGAAGGGGGCUAGCGUUGCUCGGAAUCACUGGGCGUAAAGGGUGCGUAGGCGGGUUUUUAAGGCAGGGGGGAAAUCCUGGAGCUCAACUCCAGAACUGCCUUUGAUACUGAAGAUCUUGAGUUCGGGAGAGGUGAGUGGAACUGCGAGUGUAGAGGUGAAAUUCGUAGAUAUUCGCAAGAACACCAGUGGCGAAGGCGGCUCACUGGCCCGAUACUGACGCUGAGGCGCGAAAGCGUGGGGAGCGAACAGG